rnacentral:rRNA from 1 species
GGGAAUAAAAAGUGGGAUUCAUUCCUGCCUUGAAGGUACCAGGGGAAUAAGCACCGGCUAACUCCGUGCCAGCAGCCGCGGUAAUACGGAGGGUGCAAGCGUUAUCCGGAUUCACUGGGUUUAAAGGGUGCGUAGGUGGCUUUGUAAGUCAGUGGUGAAAUAUUACGGCUCAACCGUAAAACUGCCAUUGAUACUGCUUAGCUUGAAUCAGGUCGAGGUGGAUGGAAUAUUACAUGUAGCGGUGAAAUGCUUAGAUAUGUAAUAGAACACCGAUUGCGAAGGCAGUUCACUAGGCCUGAAUUGACACUGAGGCACGAAAGCGUGGGGAUCAAACAGGAUUAGAUACCCUGGUAGUCCACGCCCUAAACGAUGUAAACUCGACGUUAGCGAUACACUGUUAGCGUCCAAGCGAAAGCGUUAAGUUUACCACCUGGGAAGUACGACCGCAAGGUUGAAACUCAAAGGAAUUGACG